rnacentral:rRNA from 1 species
AGAGUUUGAUCAUGGCUCAGAUUGAACGCUGGCGGCAUGGCUAAAACAUGCAAGUCGAACGCGUGUAGCAAUACACGAGUGGCGAAAGGGCGAGGAAUAGAUUCCUACGUACCCCGGAGUCAGGGAUAACCAUCGGAAACGGUGGCCAACACCUGAUGAUCUCGAAAGAGCAAAGUUUACGCUCUGGGAGCGGGGAAUCUCCUAUCAGCUAGUUGGUGAGGUAACGGCUCACCAAGGCUAAGACGGGUAGCGGGUGUGAGAGCACGGCCCGCCGCAUCGGGACUGAGACACUGCCCGGACUCCUACGGGAGGCUGCAGUAACGAAUCUUCCGCAAUGCGCGAAAGCGUGACGGGGCAAUGCCGCGUGUGGGAUGAAGCCCCUCGGGGUGUAAACCACUGUCAGGGUCUAGGAACACAAUGACCAUACCCAAAGGAAGCACCGGCUAACUCUGUGCCAGCAGCCGCGGUAAUACAGAGGGUGCGAGCGUUAAUCGGAAUCACUGGGCUUAAAGGGUCCGUAGGCGGGACUGCAGGCGUCGAGUGAAAUACCACGGCUCAACCGUGGAACUGCUCGGCGAACCGCAGUUCUUGAGGCGAGUAGAGGCGAUCAGAACGAUAGGUGGAGCGGUGAAAUGCGUAGAUAUCUAUCGGAAUGCCAAAGGUGAAGACAGGUCGCUGGGCUCGUCCUGACGCUGAGGGACGAAAGCGUGGGGAGCAAACGGGAUUUAGAUACCCCGGUAGUCCACGCCGUAAACAAUGCGCACUGGGUCGGGGGGGGUUUGACGCCCUCCUGGCCGAAGCAAAAGUGUUAAGUGCGCCGCCUGUGGAGUACGGUCGCAAGGCUAAAACUCAAAGGAAUUGACGGGGGCUCACACAAGCGGUGGAGCAUGUGGCUUAAUUCGAAGCAACGCGAAGAACCUUAUCCCAGGCUUGACAUCUUAGUAUUAGUCCUAUGAAAGUAGGAUGACAGUCGCAAGACCGGAACUAGGACAGGUGCUGCAUGGCUGUCGUCAGCUCGUGCUGUGAAGUGUCGGGUUAAGUCCCUCAACGAGCGAAACCCCUAUCGUUAGUUGCUAACAGGUAAUGCUGAGGACUCUAGCGAGACUGCCGGUGUCAAACCGGAGGAAGGUGGGGAUGACGUCAAGUCCUCAUGGCCCUUAUGCCUGGGGCUGCACACGUGCUACAAUGGCGGAUACAGAACGAUGCAAGACCGUAAGGUGGAGCAAAUCGCUUAAAGUCCGCCCCAGUUCAGAUAGGAGGCUGCAACCCGCCUCCUUGAAGUCGGAAUCGCUAGUAAUCGCGGAUCAGCUACGCCGCGGUGAAUAUGUUCCUGAGCCUUGUACACACUGCCCGUCAAGUCAUGGGAGCUGGCAGCGCCCGAAGUCGCCCAAAUUCAUGGGUGCCCACGGCGAGGCUGGUGACUGGGACUAAGUCGUAACAAGGUAACC